rnacentral:rRNA from 1 species
AACGAACGCUGGCGGCAUGCCUAACACAUGCAAGUCGAACGAGACCUUCGGGUCUAGUGGCGCACGGGUGCGUAACGCGUGGGAACCUGCCCUUAGGUUCGGAAUAACUCCCCGAAAGGGGUGCUAAUACCGGAUAAUGUCUUCGGACCAAAGAUUUAUCGCCUUUGGAUGGGCCCGCGUUGGAUUAGCUAGUUGGUAGGGUAAAAGCCUACCAAGGCGACGAUCCAUAGCUGGUCUGAGAGGAUGAUCAGCCACACUGGGACUGAGACACGGCCCAGACUCCUACGGGAGGCAGCAGUGGGGAAUAUUGGACAAUGGGCGAAAGGCUGAUCCAGCAAUGCCGCGUGAGUGAUGAAGGCCUUAGGGUUGUAAAGCUCUUGUACCCGGGAUGAUAAUGACAGUACCGGGAGAAUAAGCUCCGGCUAACUCCGUG